rnacentral:misc_RNA from 2 species
AGACUCAAUCCCUCGGGUUUCCGAGGAGAUUGGACUUGGGUGUUGCCGCUUUGCCGGCUCGCCUUAAAAGACUUAGCGGGAUAGCACCGUAGCUGGCGUAAUAAGUUUCGUCGGUGAAGGUUGUGAUGACUGCUUACAAUCGCCCUCGGGCAAUUUUGA